rnacentral:rRNA from 1 species
GUGCCAGCAGCCGCGGUAAUACGUAGGGACCGAGCGUUGUCCGGAAUCAUUGGGCGUAAAGAGCGUGUAGGCGGCCAAUUAAGUCCUGCGUGAAAUCUCGGGGCUCAACCCCGAGCGGUCGUGGGAAACUGGUUGGCUAGAGUGCGGGAGAGGAGAGUGGAAUUCCUGGUGUAGCGGUGAAAUGCGCAGAUAUCAGGAAGAACACCCGUGGCGAAGGCGGCUCUCUGGAACGCAACUGACGCUGAGACGCGAAAGCGUGGGGAGCAAACAGGAUUAGAUACCCUUGUAGUCC